UCCCUGGUGGCUCAGAUGGUAAAGCAUCUGUUUACAAAGUGGGAGACCUGGGUUCGAUCCCUGGGUUAGGGAA
rfam:TPA: Bos taurus chromosome X, whole genome shotgun sequence.